AUAUCAGGUGGUUACUGAGGGCCCUUCUGACAAAAACACCAGACACAGUACUGCUACUAACACCAGCACAUGGAGCAGUUUUUCAGUCUCCAUUAUUUUACAUUAACUUUAGGAAUUUGUAGUGUCACCAUAGGUACAGUAUUAGUUUUCCAGAGGAGAGCUCUCUUCUCUUUAAAAUAUCUUUCAAGAGAUGUCCUGAAAUAUCAUAGGGCUGAGAGAACCAUUGUAUAUAAAUAAUGGUCCUAACAUAAAUUCAGAAGUAACUAUAUUAGUGAAAAAACA
rnacentral:lncRNA from 1 species